rnacentral:snRNA from 1 species
AUACGAACAAAAUACUAAAAUUG